ensembl:lncRNA
GCCGUCCUCUCUCUUACAAAAAUAUAACAUGAAUUUAAUCAGUAGAUAAGGGUGAAUGAUUAUUAGACGUUAGUGGAACAUUUCGGCAUUGGAUAGUUUUCGUUAGCUUCGUAAUUCUGUCUCUCGGCUUUCACAGUUGAUGCUAGCUAGUUUAACUUCGGCUAAUUGUACGUUCAGAACGCUGCUACGUUUUGGUACGUGCUCAGCACAAGUUUCAGGAACAACAAUUUUAGCAUUGUACAUUUGUUAUUCUGUCACUCGGUUUUCACAGUCGAUUGAACUUGCUACAAGGCAUGCAUGGAGGGAAUCCACUGAUUCCAGCGUCACCAAACCCUCUGGAAAGAACAAAAGUAAACAGGCUCCCACCGUGUCCAGCUGGAUUCAACUGCCUUGAAAUCGGCACAUCGAUUUUGGCAGUGACGUCAGCGAUGGACUCCACGGCGCAGAAACGGCUGCCAAUUUCAAGCACAUCUGAUUCACAGUAAGAGACGGCCUGCCACACACACUGGUGCCAUCUUGCAUUCAAAUGUUGCUGAAGCUUUCAGAAUUUUUGGGGACCAAAAUGAAUGCGAGUUAACAAGACUCAUCAACUCAGACUGUAGAAGGAUGUUACAAGUCUUUUG